ACUGCAGCUGAGGUGGCAGGAUUAGAGUCUCCCACUCCUUCCCUAGGCUUCCUGAUUCACUCCUGAGCGGACACGUGGUCAUGGGCUCACAUGGUCAGAGGUGCUUUCUCCUCCGGGUUCUGUCUCCUUCAUCCUCUCUUCUUUUUGUCUUCUGGGCUACACUAGGUUCCUUACUGAGAGGAAAGACCUACUAGCCAGCCAGGUUCCUCAGGUGAUCCUGACACAGAGGGUUUCUGAGAACUGGAAGCAAUACAAAAUGGAAUUCCAAAAGCUGGGGACAUCUGCCUGCCUCCCAAGCUCCCUGGGACUGUUGACAAGAGCACUCACAAUGGUUAAACUGCCACAGCUGACUGAAGCCAGUGAGGACAGUCCAACACGUCAGCCUUAGGACUCAGAAGGACAGGUGGCUCAAACAGGUUUUCAGGAGUCUCCCUCCUGCCCGAGAGGAGCCCGGAAGUUCAGCAGAAGGAAGAGGGACUCUCCAUCCUCGUAGAAGCAAAAGGCUUUCUUUCUGUUUGCCUUUUACUGACUGCAGUGAAAGGCCUAGCCUAUGUCCAGUGCCCCAGGUCUUGGUGAAUAAGGUGUGGGCACCUACAAAAGCUAAUCCCUGCUCGUUGUCUCUAGCCACAACUCAAGGGUUCUGCAGCUUGUCUUUGGAAAUGAGUCAACCAACAGUUGGGGAGAAAAACUGUACCUCUAAAUCACUAAUGACACACCUUCAAGGCUUGUCCUUUCAUUUACCAAACCUGGAGUUUAACAACUCGAGACCACACUUCCUUGCCUGGUAAGCCUGUGUUUCACUGAGCUCAUAAAACUGAAGAAAAGGUCAGCAGGCUCGCUGCUCCCUCAAGGAGUCUCUGGCCCCCUGCUUUGGCCUACCCUCAUUUCCUUCUGCUUCCCUGAAGGACUAUUUGAACACAUUAAGGAAGAGUCUCAUGGGCUGAGGAGGCAGCUCAGCUGGUAAAGUGUUGCUGGUCUUCUAAGCAGAAGAUCUUGAGUUCAGGUCCCCAGCACUGAUGUCAUGUUCCUGAACAUGUAACCCAUUGCUGGGGAGGCAGAGACAGAAGGAUCCCCGAGGCUUGCUGUCAGCCAGGCUAGCUGAAUUGAGUGGGGUGUACUGAAAGGAAAUCUUGUCUCAAAAAAAUACAGUGUCAGAUGGCAUAUCCUUGUACAGCUCCAGGACCUGACCUAACUGGAGUGGCAGGGGAAGGCAGAAAGAGCAGACACUAAAGAACACAGACACACCGAAAAACUGGCAUUCGGUGGCCUGGGCUCCCUGAUGAAGAAACAACACCCCAGAAACUUGGUAUGUUUAUUCUAUACAAUCCAAUAGGGAGGUUGGGUCAUUGCAUACAGCUGAAUGAGGAGGUGGGUUUAGCUAAUCUCUGUAGGAGCAGCCUGCAGAUUGCAAACAUCUGGGAGGGGAAACCUAGAGUGGACGUUUCCAGCACAUACUAUCAACAUCCACACUCAGAACAGAGGAAGGACUUGCCAUCCCUCUGAGACUCACCAGGGAAGGCCUUGUACUCCCAGGGGGCUGAGGCAAUGGGGACCUUGACAUAACUAUGCCCAAGGCAA
rnacentral:lncRNA from 1 species